rnacentral:tRNA from 1 species
ACCGCGAUAGCUCAGCCUGGUAGAGCAUGCUGCCCGGUAUUGUGCUGAGGGUCGCCGGUUCGAUUCCGGCUCGCGGCG